AUUGAACGCUGGCGGCAGGCCUAACGCAUGCAAGUCGAGCGGAUGAGUGGAGCUUGCUCCAUGAUUCAGCGGCGGACGGGUGAGUAAUGCCUAGGAAUCUGCCUGGUAGUGGGGGACAACGUUUCGAAAGGAACGCUAAUACCGCAUACGUCCUACGGGAGAAAGUGGGGGAUCUUCGGACCUCACGCUAUCAGAUGAGCCUAGGUCGGAUUAGCUAGUUGGUGAGGUAAAGGCUCACCAAGGCGACCAUCCGUAACUGGUCUGAGAGGGUGAUCAGUCACACUGGAACUGAGACACGGUCCAGGCUGCUACGGGAGACAGCAGUGGGGAAUAUUGGACAAUGGGCGAAAGUCUGAUCCAGCCAUGCCGCGUGUGUGAAGAAGGUCUUCGGAUUGUAAAGCACUUUAAGUUGGGAGGAAGGGCAGUAAGUUAAUACCUUGCUGUUUUGACGUUACCAACAGAAUAAGCACCGGCUAACUUCGUGCCAGCAGCCGCGGUAAAAC
rnacentral:rRNA from 1 species